GAAGAUGAUUUUCUGUUAUUGCACAUAUUGCACCAUUUGUUCAAUUGUACAGUUCGUUCGGGUUAAAUGUCAUUUCUUCUGAGUUAACUGUACUGAUACCACAACAUUGUUGCAUUUUUGGUAAUGUCGUCAGUCAGCCAUUGUAUUUCUUUUCGCACACAUCUACAAAUUAUUUCUGCAUUAACGAUAAUCUACAUUACGGGACCUUUAAAUUUACGCCAUUUUCUUUCGAUAGUUUGCGCAUGCGUAGCAAUAGAGACUUUAAAUUAAACCGUAAAUAUUGCUCUGGUUUAUCAAACAUUUAGUAGUACGGUAUUUUAUUGACCUUCAAUAACAAAGUCACACAUGGUGGCAUAUCUUGGAGGAUACAAAUGUAUUCUUGGAUUACUUUGUGGUCUUUUGCAUUUUCCAAGAAAGUCACAUUAUUUAUGUAUACAUGUCAUCAUAAAAUGUCAAUUGAUGAUUUGAGGCACUUUCAUAUCAAGUGAUUUUGAUGAUUUGUGGCACAUCUAAACCGCGCUACCUCACCCUAAUAGCAAUAAUGCAAAAAGAUUUAGAGUUACCAGCAGAAAAUGCGGUUACUUUCAGUGUAUCCCAUUUAUUUAUUUAAGAUAUUUUCCUUCAAUCUAGUUGUGUUAGUCAAUCUGUCCAUACUGCAGACCUUGUAAUGUGAAUCCACUGACUUAUAUUCUUUAUAUUAUAUAUCUUUAUAUAUCUUUAUAUUCUAAGACUUUUGAAUAAGUGACGUACAUCUUAGGAGAAAUGAGUGGUACAGUUUGUCUGUUAUGGUUUUGUGUUACUUUUUAAUGUUGACAGAUUGCAGUCCAGUAAAGUGACUUGACUGUUUGUGUGAAAAGGUUGCUUAGUUCAAAGCUGACAGUGUGAGGCUGUUAAAGGCCACCCAGGUAGAGUGGAGUAAAAAUGAAAUUAUUAUUUAAUGUUUGUUUUGGAAUCCAAGACAUGGACUGCCAGUUGAUGAUCAAUGCUGUACGUAGUGUGAAAAUGACUGAGUGCAAUGUGUUGUCUUUGCAGCUCUGUGACUCUGGAUCACAUCAAGACUUUUAAAACCUAGAGACUGGUGAAGACCGGGCAGGAGGCCAUGGAAGUGACCACAACUUCCACCAGCAUUGGCAAGUUUGAGGCCAGGUGGAGAGGACUUGUGAACACAGCAGUUUGAACUGGCCAGGUAGAGUGAAGGAGCAACUUUAUUUGAAGCAGAUCACUUGUUUGCAUAUUUGAGUAUUUUACUGAAACUUAUUGGUAACAGACACUUUUUGGCCCUUGCACUUUCAAUGACAGAUCCUUAACACUCACUUUUUUGCAACAGAUUUUUUUUGUGCCAUUGUACUUUCAUUGUUGUCUGUAUUUGAUUGUUGUAAAACUUUUAGAAUAAAGAAAGUUUUUGGAA